GGUUGGUCCAAGUACAGUGGUGUUUACAACUAAUUCAUCACAGUCACAGAUUUCUUUGUUCCUUCUCCACUUUCACUGCUUCACUUGAUUCGUCAAAA
ensembl:misc_RNA Y_RNA Y RNA